rnacentral:rRNA from 1 species
CAACUUUUAACAACGGAUCUCUUGGUUCUCGCAUCGAUGAAGAACGUAGCAAAGUGCGAUAACUAGUGUGAAUUGCAUAUUCAGUGAAUCAUCGAGUCUUUGAACGCAACUUGCGCCUUUUGGUAUUCCAAAAGGCACGCCUGUUUCAGUAUCAAAAA